UAGCCAUAUCAUAUUGAAACACUGGUUCCGAUUCGAUCACCAAAGUUAAGCAAUGUUGAACCUGCUCAGUACCUAGAUGCGUGACUGCUUGGGAAUACCAGGUGCUGUAAG